GUCAAUCCGUAUACAAUCCAUAUAUUUCGACAUAUCCCUCGAAAAGGAUUUUAUAAGGUGUUACAAUAUCUUAAAAAGGUGUUGCCAGUGUUUCUCAGAUGUUGGCACGGUGGUACCAAUGUUUCAUAAAUGUGUAUGAUAUGAAGAUGUAAUGCUCACAAACAAUCACAAUGAAUAUUCCCACAAAUAACCACAUGAUAUAUUUCCACAACCAACCACAAUGAUACAUUUUCACAACCACAUGAGACAAUAUUUGCUCAUUAUUUUCGUAUCAUCCAUGAAUUUUCACAUGUCUCAUUUGCCAAUAAAGUAUAAAUAUAAUCACAAUAUACCAAUUCAUAUGUAUUCAAGGCUAUCAAUAUCACAUAGGAUCCCACAUGGUCACAUAUAUCAUAUAAUAUCUCAAUUUCAAUAAUUACAUCACAUAUAAGCCUCCACACGGGCACAACACAUAUAUAUCCAUUUUUUAUGAUUAGUUCCCACCC
rnacentral:lncRNA from 1 species